rnacentral:rRNA from 1 species
GUCGAACGGCAGCAUGAUCUAGCUUGCUAGAUUGAUGGCGAGUGGCGAACGGGUGAGUAAUACAUCGGAACGUGCCCUGUAGUGGGGGAUAACUAGUCGAAAGAUUAGCUAAUACCGCAUACGACCUGAGGGUGAAAGUGGGGGACCGCAAGGCCUCAUGCUAUAGGAGCGGCCGAUGUCUGAUUAGCUAGUUGGUGAGGUAAAGGCUCACCAAGGCGACGAUCAGUAGCUGGUCUGAGAGGACGAUCAGCCACACUGGGACUGAGACACGGCCCAGACUCCUACGGGAGGCAGCAGUGGGGAAUUUUGGACAAUGGGCGAAAGCCUGAUCCAGCAAUGCCGCGUGUGUGAAGAAGGCCUUCGGGUUGUAAAGCACUUUUGUCCGGAAAGAAAUGGCUCUGGUUAAUACCUGGGGUCGAUGACGGUACCGGAAGAAUAAGGACCGGCUAACUACGUGCCAGCAGCCGCGGUAAUACGUAGGGUCCAAGCGUUAAUCGGAAUUACUGGGCGUAAAGCGUGCGCAGGCGGUUGUGCAAGACCGAUGUGAAAUCCCCGAGCUUAACUUGGGAAUUGCAUUGGUGACUGCACGGCUAGAGUGUGUCAGAGGGGGGUAGAAUUCCACGUGUAGCAGUGAAAUGCGUAGAGAUGUGGAGGAAUACCGAUGGCGAAGGCAGCCCCCUGGGAUAACACUGACGCUCAUGCACGAAAGCGUGGGGAGCAAACAGGAUUAGAUACCCUGGUAGUCCACGCCCUAAACGAUGUCAACUAGUUGAUGGGGAAUCAUUUCCUUAGUAACGUAGCUAACGCGUGAAGUUGACCGCCUGGGGAGUACGGUCGCAUGAUUAAAACUCAAAGGAAUUGACGGGGACCCGCACAAGCGGUGGAUGAUGUGGAUUAAUUCGAUGCAACGCGAAAAACCUUACCUACCCUUGACUGGCACUAACC